AGUGAACGCUGGCGGUAGGCCUAACACAUGCAAGUCGAACGGCAGCACAGUAAGAGCUUGCUCUUACGGGUGGCGAGUGGCGGACGGGUGAGGAAUACAUCGGAAUCUACUUUUUCGUGGGGGAUAACGUAGGGAAACUUACGCUAAUACCGCAUACGACCUACGGGUGAAAGCAGGGGAUCUUCGGACCUUGCGCGAUUGAAUGAGCCGAUGUCGGAUUAGCUAGUUGGCGGGGUAAAGGCACACCAAGGCGACGAUACGUAGCUGGUCUGAGAGGAUGAUCAGCCACACUGGAACUGAGACACGGUCCAGACUCCUACGGGAGGCAGCAGUGGGGAAUAUUGGACAAUGGGCGCAAGCCUGAUCCAGCCAUACCGCGUGGGUGAAGAAGGCCUUCGGGUUGUAAAGCCCUUUUGUUGGGAAAGAAAAGAAGCAGGUUAAUACCCCGCUGUUCUGACGGUACCCAAAGAAUAAGCACCGGCUAACUUCGUG
rnacentral:rRNA from 1 species